rnacentral:rRNA from 1 species
ACGGAAGGCAGCAGUGGGGAAUAUUGGACAAUGGGGGAAACCCUGAUCCAGCGACGCCGCGUGAGUGAAGAAGUAUUUCGGUAUGUAAAGCUCUAUCAGCAGGGAAGAUGAUGACGGUACCUGACUAAGAAGCCCCGGCUAACUACGUGCCAGCAGCCGCGGUAAUACGUAGGGGGCAAGCGUUAUCCGGAUUUACUGGGUGUAAAGGGAGCGUAGGCGGCCAGACAAGUCAGAUGUGAAAACCCUGGGCUUAACCCGGGACCUGCAUUUGAAACUGUAGGGCUAGAGUACUGGAGAGGCAAGUGGAAUUCCUAGUGUAGCGGUGAAAUGCGUAGAUAUUAGGAAGAACACCAGUGGCGAAGGCGACUUACUGGACAGAGACUGACGCUGAGGCUCGAAAGCGUGGGGAGCAAACAGGAUUAGAUACCCUGGUA